GAUGAAGAACGGAGCGAAAUGCGAUAAGUAAUGUGAAUUGCAGAAUUCAGUGAAUCAUCGAGUCUUUGAACGCACAUUGCGCCCCCUGGUAUUCCGGGGGGCAUGCCUGUCCGAGCGUCAUUGCCGCCCUCAAGCACGGCUUGUGUGUUGGGCCCCCGCCCCCCGGCUUCGGGGGGCGGGCCCGAAAGGCAGCGGCGGCACCGCGUCCGGUCCUCGAGCGUAUGGGGCUUCGUCACCCGCUCUGUAGGCCCGGCCGGCGCCCGCCGGCGACCCCAAUCAAUCUUUCCAGGUUGACCUCGGAUCAGGUAGGGAUACCCGCUGAACUUAAGCAUAUCAAUAAGCGGAGGA
rnacentral:misc_RNA from 1 species